GUACCUACCCCAAAGUCUAAACGCUAGGUGCCUACUUCAACGCCUGCUUCAACAAUGAAGAAAGAACCAACAAUCCACUCUCGUGCGGAGUACACAUCCAUGAGCAGAAAAGUGAGUGUAAAGACAGUUAUUAAGUGUCGACGCUAGACGAGCCUCCGAGAUGAACAUUUAUUUACCGUCUAAGUGCACACAUUAUCAACAACUCCUGGGCCGCUUCGAACUCGAUGCCGCUGACAUCACCCGUAAACAUCGGUUGCCAACGCUAAAGAAAGUUGCUUCGAACGGAUUCCAUUUCCUGUGUUGCCUAGGUCUUCCAGGGCAUCAAGGGCAUACCGGGAAGGGGCUGCUUUCCGCCGGACCGGCCCCCAAACUUCUCACCUCGGUUCGUACCCUCGACCCGAAAAGUCAGCGAACGGGGUUUUUUCCCAAUCCAAUGAACGGUGGAAGUAUUUUCACGUUAGAAGAAGCUUCAGAGAUCCAAGUGUUGGUUCUCCGCAGUGCCAUUCCGCAGCUGCAAACAUCAAUUUCGACCACCAACACCAGCAAUCGAUCGCUAUUGUGUUGUCGGCUAUUAUUCUCGGGCAACUCACAAACGCAAUAGCGAUGAUCAUGAUGAUUUGAAUCUUUUUUUAUGGCUGUCACCAAAAUCAUUUAUAAUUUAUUUUAUUUCACCUUGCUCCUGCCAAGAAGUUGUGCUCCUGGAGCAAAAAGGCACUUCGUUUCGUUCAGCAGAUAUUCGGUAACGUUCCACAAUACCCUUUUCGCGUAAGUAAAAGAACGAAGAAGCAAAAGGGUACGCCAUGAAACCACUUUUGCACUACCAAGUAUAUUGGCCGGAUGUUGAUCUUUGGGAAAGGAGCUUACUUUUGGGGAGUUUUCAUCAACCCAUCGACCUUGCGGAUGAUUGAAGGCAAAGAAGCAGCAAAUCAAUAAAGAGCCUUGAUUUUA